ACAAAGUGUCAGCCAGACAGUGGACAGAGCCCCCCGCUGACUCGCACGCAGCUGGUGGGACUCUAACCCGGGACAACCUCUUGGGGAAACGGGAUCCGCCAAGGUUGGACACAGAUGUGGAUUAACUGACCCCAGGGGUUGCAUUCACAGGAGGAGAGAACAGAGCGAGAGGGCAGCGAGAAGGCACUGCACGCAACGGGAUGAGGGGUGGGUCCCUAAAACACGAAAAUCCGGCUCCGAAAGACAGCUCACCGUGCGAUCCCGUUUACCUGAGGUUCCUAAACGGGAACCCCGGCCCGUGGUGCUCUCUGUGACCCUGGAGCUCGCUGCCACCCUGGAGCUGCAUAGAGGCAUAUGCUCAGAAGCUCGCAGGGCUGCUCCUGCCCUCUGGCUGGGACCACUUCUCCUCACUCACCAUCCUGGGCGUCUGGGCUCUGGCCAUGCGGGGAGCAUCCCAAGUCCCGCCACGUCUGGAAAGGAAGGAUGGAGUCUCCUUUGUCCACUUCUGCUCUUGAAGAGGGAACUCCGACUGUCCUUCACGGACCAGAGAAUGUCAAGACUUGCCCAUCUCUCUCUGUUUGCUACCCCACGAUUGCAAGAUGACAGCAGCCACCAAAUCCCCCUGCUUCCUCAUCCACAUCGGACCAAGGCCUGAGAUUUGAGCGGAUGGAACACCGCUGGGCCAACCCCAGUGACCAGGAGAAUGGCCCGCUCCGAGGUCGUGAUUUACCUGACGUGCCCACUGUCCCAGGGGCUCUUGGAAUCCUGGAGCUGAGGGUGGAGUCCCUACCGCCCACACGGCUACUCAGGGAAGGAGGGGUGGAGGAGGUGUUGGGGAGGCAUCCUGAAUUCCAUCCCACCCCCUGCAUGUCCAAGGGAACAGGGAAAAAUGAUUGUCUGACCUUAGAUUUUUACAGGGCAAAUUUGGAGUUCAUUGCUUUAGAAAAAUGGAGAGGAAGACCAUGAUAGGAUCUUUUUCUUUUUUGAAAAAUGCCAAAGUCUCCCUAUAAAAAAUAUAUACUCGGGGCACCUGAGUGGCUCA
rnacentral:lncRNA from 1 species